UACGGAGGGUGCGAGCGUUGUUCGGAAUCACUGGGCGUAAAGGGCGCGCAGGCGGUUUUGUAAGUCAGAUGUGAAAGCCCAUGGCUUAACUGUGGAAGUGCAUUUGAAACUGCAAGACUUGAGUACCAGAGGGGAAGGUGGAAUUCCCGGUGUAGAGGUGAAAUUCGUAGAUAUCGGGAGGAAUACCGGUGGCGAAGGCGACCUUCUGGCUGGAUACUGACGCUGAGGCGCGAAAGCGUGGGGAGCAAAC
rnacentral:rRNA from 1 species